CAGACUUGAAUAGAAACAUGGUCUCUUCCUGGAUCUCCAGCCUGCCAGCCUUUGAACUAGAACUAUACUGUUGGCUCUCUUGGGUCUCCAGCUGACUGACUACAGAUCUUGGGACUCGUCAGCCUGCAUAAUCAUGUAGACCUUUUUGGGUCAGAAUUGUGGAGAAAACAUCUGAGUCAGAUUACUAGGAUCUGAUGUGCAGGAAAAGCUCUUUGUAUGCACCAAGUCUGGACCUAUAACAUGGAAGAUUAUGAUCCACUAACCCUCCAGAUGACAGAAGCAAAGGAAGUUAAUUUGCUUGGGGUGAAAACAGUUAAGCAGAUGUCAUAUAGCAGGUAUGCAGGGGUAAUGAAGAGUUUGAAAACUAUCAUUUUCUGUUUCUAGAAACUUUGGAGGCAUUGACUUAUUCCAAGAGAAUUUUCGUGUCCUUAUAUUGAAUUAUCACUUUCUACCUAAAAUAGCCAUGAUUGUUUUCUGUCACUUAUCCUAGUUAAGACAACUUUCUAUUCUUCUGAUAACCCAUUUCAACGUUAUUAGGUCUAAAAUCUGAUUUAAUGACAGAUACAGCACACAGGAUUAAACCAAACUUUACCAAAAGUCAAACAGGUUUGAUUUGUUACUCCUUUUAUUUAAGAGGCAAUUUCAAAUGUAUGAAUGGGCGAUUAAUUACAAGACACUACUGAUGAUUUACAAAGCCAUCUUGGUUAUUGCCUAAUACUUUGUCCUUAUCUUUAUAGAGAUUGGUUUUUUUUAAAAUAAAUAAUCUGAUCUUAUGAAAAGUAUUUCAAAUACCAUGCAUUUCUAUGCAAUAGUCAUCUUAUUUAAAUGUUAAUAAAAUCUGUUUGCAUGUAGAUUAAAAAAAAUCAAAACAUGAAAAUAUCAAAAUGUCAAUUUAUAAUACAGUGUUACAAGUGGAUUAAAGUAUAAAAUGGAGUCAUAAUACACCAAGGCUUUUUUACUAGUUUAUGAAAUCUUCAGUUUAGUGAAGCUUAAAUCAAGACCUAAAAAUAUUUGGAAUUGUAACUAAGUUACAAACAAAUAAAUGGUCUACUCCCAGAGAUCAGGAGUCUAAUUGGAAUUACUGACUCUCCAUGGAGAGUCAUUCUGCACACAUUUAUCCUGUAGUUACAGGGUUGCAAACAGUUUCUGUGUAAGUUUUUGUCUAGACUUAUAAAAACUUUCAAUAAAGCCAUGGAGACAUUCAAUUGCUUCCUGUCUCACGGAAAAAGCUGUAGAACCCAAGUCAUGCUGCCUGUUAUAGGGUGAUUUCUGAGUUUGUGGCCUGCCUUUUAGUGCUUCAUGUGAAUCAAAGAAAGAAAACCAGGAACUAUUACUAUUAAUAAUACAGUGGAAGAAUUGUCUAGAAAACUUGCAUUGAACAAGAUUUUUACCAACUAUGAAAGUAAGCAAAGUAAUUAUUUUAUCAUAAUAUCCUUAUGGAGCACAGAGAGAAUUUGGUAUUUAUUUAUUCAUUUUG